AUACGGGAGGCAGCAGUGGGGAAUAUUGCACAAUGGGCGAAAGCCUGAUGCAGCGACGCCGCGUGAGGGAUGACGGCCUUCGGGUUGUAAACCUCUUUCAGCAGGGAAGAAGCGCAAGUGACGGUACCUGCAGAAGAAGCACCGGCUAACUACGUGCCAGCAGCCGCGGUAAUACGUAGGGUGCGAGCGUUGUCCGGAAUUAUUGGGCGUAAAGAGCUUGUAGGCGGUUUGUCGCGUCUGCUGUGAAAAUCCGGGGCUCAACCCCGGACUUGCAGUGGGUACGGGCAGACUAGAGUGUGGUAGGGGAGACUGGAAUUCCUGGUGUAGCGGUGAAAUGCGCAGAUAUCAGGAGGAACACCGAUGGCGAAGGCAGGUCUCUGGGCCAUAACUGACGCUGAGAAGCGAAAGCAUGGGGAGCGAACAGGAUUAGAUACCCCGGUAGU
rnacentral:rRNA from 1 species